AUCAUGAGUUCACAUGUCCGCAUGAUUAAAGGUAUUUUCCGGUAGACGAUGGGGAUGCGUUCCAUUAGAUAGUAGGCGGGGUAACGGCCCACCUAGUCAACGAUGGAUAGGGGUUCUGAGAGGAAGGUCCCCACAUUGGAACUGAGACACGGUCCAAACUCCUACGGGAGGCAGCAGUGAGGAAUAUUGGUCAAUGGGCGAUGGCCUGAACCAGCCAAGUAGCGUGAAGGAUGACUGCCCUAUGGGUUGUAAACUUCUUUUAUAAAGGAAUAAAGUCGGGUAUGCAUACCCGUUUGCAUGUACUUUAUGAAUAAGGAUCGGCUAACUCCGUGCCAGCAGCCGCGGUAAUACGGAGGAUCCGAGCGUUAUCCGGAUUUAUUGGGUUUAAAGGGAGCGUAGAUGGAUGUUUAAGUCAGUUGUGAAAGUUUGCGGCUCAACCGUAAAAUUGCAGUUGAUACUGGAUGUCUUGAGUGCAGUUGAGGCAGGCGGAAUUCGUGGUGUAGC
rnacentral:rRNA from 1 species